rnacentral:rRNA from 2 species
AUAUCAAUAAGCGGAGGAAAAGAAACUAACAAGGGAUUCCCCUAGUAACUGCGAGUGAAGCGGGAAAAGCUCAAAUUUAAAAUCUGACGGUCUUUGGCUGUCCGAGUUGUAGUCUGGAGAAGUGUUUUCCGUGCUGGACCGUGUAUAAGUCUCUUGGAAUAGAGCGUCAUAGAGGGUGAGAAUCCCGUCUUUGACACGGACUACCAGUGCUUUGUGAUGCACUUUCAAAGAGUCGAGUUGUUUGGGAAUGCAGCUCAAAAUGGGUGGUAAAUUCCAUCUAAAGCUAAAUAUUGGCGAGAGACCGAUAGCGAACAAGUACCGUGAGGGAAAGAUGAAAAGCACUUUGGAAAGAGAGUUAAACAGUACGUGAAAUUGCUGAAAGGGAAACGCUUGAAGUCAGUCGCGUUGUUUGGAACUCAGCCUUGCAAUUUGCUUGGUGCACUUUCUGAAUGACGGGCCAGCAUCAAUUUUGACCGUUGGAAAAGGGCGGGAGGAAUGUGGCACCUUCGGGUGUGUUAUAGCCUCUUUGUCGCAUGCAUCGGUUGGGAUUGAGGACCGCAGCGCGCCGCAAGGCAGAAGGGUAAACCUACUUUCGCGCUUAGGAUGCUGGCAUAAUGGCUUUAAGCGACCCGUCUUGAAACACGGACCAAGGAGUCUAACAUGCCUGCGAGUGUUUGGGUGGAAAACCCGAGCGCGUAAUGAAAGUGAAAGUUGAGACCUCUGUUGUGGAGGGCAUCGACGCCCGGACCUGACGUUCUCUGACGGAUCCGCGGUGGAGCAUGUAUGUUGGGACCCGAAAGAUGGUGAACUAUGCCUGAAUAGGGUGAAGCCAGAGGAAACUCUGGUGGAGGCUCGUAGCGAUUCUGACGUGCAAAUCGAUCGUCAAAUUUGGGUAUAGGGGCGAAAGACUAAUCGAACCAUCUAGUAGCUGGUUCUGC